rnacentral:tRNA from 1 species
AAAGAUUUAGUUUAUUUAAAAUAUUAGCUUGUCAAGUUAAAGAUAUUUAUUACUAAAAUAAUCUUUA